GACGUAGGUGGCGAACGUUAUCCGGAAUUAUUGGGCGUAAAGGGUGCGUAGGCGGCAUGAUAAGUUAUUGGCGGCAAAUCGAGGCUCAACCUCGUGGAAACUGAUAAUACUGUCUUGCUUGAGUGCAGAAGAGGUUAACGGAACUCCAUGUGGAGCGGUAAAAUGUGUAGAUAUAUGGAAGAACAUCAAUAACGGAGAAGGCAGUUAACUAUUCUGUUACUGACGUUGAGGCACGAAAGCGUGGGGAGCAAAAAGG
rnacentral:rRNA from 1 species